CCUACGGGAGGCUGCAGUGGGGAAUAUUGCACAAUGGGCGCAAGCCUGAUGCAGCCAUGCCGCGUGUGUGAAGAAGGCCUUCGGGUUGUAAAGCACUUUCAGCGGGGAGGAAGGCGUUAAGGUUAAUAACCUUGUCGAUUGACGUUACCCGCGGAAGAAGCACCGGCUAACUCCGUGCCAGCAGCCGCGGUAAUACGGAGGGUGCAAGCGUUAAUCGGAAUUACUGGGCGUAAAGCGCACGCAGGCGGUCUGUCAAGUCGGAUGUGAAAUCCCCGGGCUCAACCUGGGAACUGCAUUCGAAACUGGCAGGCGAGAGUCUUGUAGAGGGGGGUAGAAUUCCAGGUGUAGCGGUGAAAUGCGUAGAGAUCUGGAGGAAUACCGGUGGCGAAGGCGGCCCCCUGGACAAAGACUGACGCUCAGGUGCGAAAGCGUGGGGAGCAAAGAGGAUUAGAUACCCCGGUAGUC
rnacentral:rRNA from 1 species